UUAAUAUGUGGGUUAGUCACUUAAAAAAUAGACCACUCGUUAAAAACUGGUUUCGUGGGGAUAAAUUCAAUCUGAUGAAUGUUGUCUAUGCACUUUUGCAAUGGAGUCUCGAAAUCAUCUCAUGUUCCUCUGUGAGCGCUUCCGAGGUGUGAAAUUUGUUUUUUUCUAGGCUUUAUUCUCGACAAAAGUUGUUUUGCUCUUGGGCUAAGCUAUUUUCUUGGACCUGACGCUCUUCCUCUCUUGAGACACUUAAAUAAUUGUCCAUUCAUCAAAGACAGGCUUCUUGGGAAUAAAUUCAAUCUGAUGAGUGUUUUCUUUGCAUUUUUGCAACGGAGUCUCGGGAUCACCUCCUGCUCCUCUGAAGCAGGAUAAUAAACCAGACGUGUUCUUUUGUUUCGAGGUGUCUUAAGGAGAACUACUGCACGUAUAUGCAAUCAGGUUCUGUUCAACCCUACAUGUCUAGAGUUUUGGAGGAUGUGGUAUUUUUUUGCUGGCAAGGAUCACACAUUUUGCACUUGAGAUUCCGAGACUCCGUUGCAAAAGUGCAAAAUGUGCUUAAUAACUAUAAAUUUUUGUGAUCCUUAACACAAAACGA